GAUGAAGAACGCAGCGAAAUGCGAUACGUAAUGUGAAUUGCAGAAUUCAGUGAAUCAUCGAAUCUUUGAACGCAUAUUGCGCUCUCUGGUAUUCCGGAGAGCAUGCUUGUUUGAGUAUCAGUAAACACCUCAACUUCCAUAUCUUUUUUGAAAUGGGAGUUGGACUUGAGUGAUCCCAACGCUUUUCCUCACCGAAAAGUGGCGGGUUACUUGAAAUGCAGGUGCAGCUGGACUUUUCUCUGAGCUAUAAGCAUAUCUAUUUAGUCUGCCUAAAAAACAGAUUAUUACCUUUGCUGCAGCUAACAUAUAGGAGAUUAGUUCUUGUGCUGACUGAUGCAGGAUUCACAAAGACGGCUUCGGCCGACUUUGUAAACUCGAUCUCAAAUCAAGUAAGACUACCCGCUGAACUUAAGCAUAUCAAUAAGCGGAGGA
rnacentral:misc_RNA from 1 species